rnacentral:lncRNA from 1 species
CAACUGAGAAGAAGAAUUGAUCGUAGAGUGGAUGAGUGCAGAAAGCCAUUUCGUAAGAAAUUUCCUGACAUCCUGCCCUCUCAUGUUGGAAGAACCAUCUAGUGAAUGGUUACUUAUCGCUACUUUCUUAAGAUAUGAUGGAAGAUGUGGGGAUGAGAGAAGGAGACUGAAUCGGAAGAGAGAUUUUUCGUGGUAUCUUUAGUGUUGUUGGAAAAAACAGGAUUAAAAAGAAGAAUAGCAGAUCAAAAAAAGUUGUGAGUUCAGCUUUCUCCACUGUUUGGAGGAUACAGCUUUAGAGAGGUGUGAAGCUGAGACCAUUGGCAUUUGGACAUCAGUGGACACUGUGAGGUGCUGCAUCAUUUUAAGACUGGAGUCCACAGCACUUGUGAGGAGGAGGAUGACAAACAUCAUCUGUCUAGGCUCAGUCUGGAAGAAUUUCUUCAACACUCAGCUGGGGCGCCAUCCACAAUCUCCUGGAAACGCUCCAACCCUGUAAUUAUAUUCUGCCUCUCAAAAUCAGACUUCGUUUUCUAAUUCAAUAAUGCUCCAUUUUAUCAUGCUCAUUUUAGAUACUUUCGUCUCUCAUUUCAAGAGUUUAAAUAACAGACAACUAUCACGACUUUGGGAGGAGGUAGGUGAGACAGAGCAGUGCUCCAGAAUUAGGUCCCACCCCCGAGGCCUCUCUCAGCAAUCAGGCUAAGACACCCCACAGGCUGUCUCUUUCUGCCUCCCCUUUCCCACAACACAAUCACCAGCUUCUCCAAUGCAUCACCUGGCCUGAAUGCAUCGCCUGGAGCAUUGCCUGGAGCAUUGCCUGGCCCGAAGGGCAGCACCACCCCAUGGGACCAUCCUGGAUGAUUAGGAAAGAAGAAACUAUUUCUGCCAGACUUUCUUUGUAGUUUCGUUUCAGAAACCUCAUUUAGUUCUUCAGCUGUUUUAAGCAAUGUUUCUGAAAGAAAAAACUAUCAUUUAGGAGAAUCGUUUGUUGAUGCUCAUAUGUUGCCUUUGAGUGUUACCCCUUCACAGUUGCUAUGGGGAGAUACAAGCAAAACAAAACAAAACAAAACAAUACAAAACAAAACCCAGUAGAUUUAGUUCCUCUUAUUACUCAUUCCAUUAAUAACCCUUGAGUACUUAUUAUAUACAAGGCAAUGUAGAAUAUGAAUCCAUGAAUCACAUCUAGAAUUUGUCUAUAAGAAACAUGGGCUAUAAAAAUAGGCUGUGUUUACUAGGCUGAUAACAAAUCCUUUCUAAAACUUAUCCUACAUGAGGUAAAAUCAAUGCAGAGGUCAAGAAUCUCAAGCGGUAUACAGUCUAGGUGAGGCCAUAAAGAUGAAUCUCAGGACAGACCUGCUUCAACUGAACUAGACAUGUUACUAUUAGAAUAGUUCCACUGGAGAACUGGUUGUUUAAAGACAGUUCAGACACAAAUCUUUUGCUAUACAAAGAAAAGAAGACCCCAGAUUUAGAGUUACGUCUAUUGUUAAGUGCAGAACAGCUGCAUGCUAUGUAAGGGUUGUUCACUUUCAAUCCCCAGGGCACCAUUUACAUAGACUGGGACAUGGCCUGCAACGUGCAGUCUAUGCAAUUGCAUGCAAUAGCUCUAUAUGAAUGUUUCUGGAAAAAAAUAGACUUUAUCUGAAAGGAUGACUUACACCUCCUAAUUUAACUAUUCACAUUUUGGGAUUUGCUUGGAGCCAAACCAGAUUUCUGGCUUUUUGCUGCCAAACCAGAUUUUAGGAAAAUCCUGCAAAUAUGGGUUUGACCAAAGUUUUGUACUCUUAACCU